rnacentral:rRNA from 1 species
UGAGUCGAACGGUAACAGGAUGUGCUUGCACAUCGCUGACGAGUGGCGGACGGGUGAGUAAUGCUUGGGAACUUGCCUUUGCGAGGGGGAUAACAGUUGGAAACGACUGCUAAUACCGCAUAAUGUCUUCGGACCAAACGGGGCUUUUAGCUCCGGCGCAAAGAGAGGCCCAAGUGAGAUUAGCUAGUUGGUAAGGUAACGGCUUACCAAGGCGACGAUCUCUAGCUGUUCUGAGAGGAAGAUCAGCCACACUGGGACUGAGACACGGCCCAGACUCCUACGGGAGGCAGCAGUGGGGAAUAUUGCACAAUGGGGGAAACCCUGAUGCAGCCAUGCCGCGUGUGUGAAGAAGGCCUUCGGGUAGUAAAGCACUUUCAGUUGUGAGGAAAAGUUAGUAGUUAAUACCUGCUAGCCGUGACGUUAACAACAGAAGAAGCACCGGCUAACUCCGUGCCAGCAGCCGCGGUAAUACGGAGGGUGCGAGCGUUAAUCGGAAUUACUGGGCGUAAAGCGCACGCAGGCGGUUUGUUAAGCUAGAUGUGAAAGCCCCGGGCUCAACCUGGGAUGGUCAUUUAGAACUGGCAGACUAGAGUCUUGGAGAGGGGAGUGGAAUUCCAGGUGUAGCGGUGAAAUGCGUAGAUAUCUGGAGGAACAUCAGUGGCGAA